rnacentral:rRNA from 1 species
UACGUAGGGUGCGAGCGUUAAUCGGAAUUACUGGGCGUAAAGCGUGCGCAGGCGGUUUUGUAAGACUGUCGUGAAAUCCCCGGGCUCAACCUGGGAAUGGCGAUGGUGACUGCAAGGCUAGAGUUUGGCAGAGGGGGGUAGAAUUCCACGUGUAGCAGUGAAAUGCGUAGAGAUGUGGAGGAAUACCGAUGGCGAAGGCAGCCCCCUGGGAUAACACUGACGCUCAUGCACGAAAGCGUGGGGAGCAAACAGG